AGAACGAACGCUGGCGGCAUGCCUAACACAUGCAAGUCGAACGAGACCUUCGGGUCUAGUGGCGCACGGGUGCGUAACGCGUGGGAAUCUGCCCUUGGGUACGGAAUAACAGCGAGAAAUUGCUGCUAAUACCGUAUAAUGACUUCGGUCCAAAGAUUUAUCGCCCAGGGAUGAGCCCGCGUAGGAUUAGCUUGUUGGCGGGUAAUAGGCCCACCAGGCG
rnacentral:rRNA from 1 species